rnacentral:rRNA from 1 species
CCCUUAGAUGUUCUGGGCCGCACGCGCGCUACACUGAUUCAUGCAACAAGUUUUGUCCUUGGCUGAUAGGCCUGGGUAAUCUUUGAACGUGAAUCGUGAUGGGGAUAGAUGAUUGCAAUUAUGGGUCUUCAACGAGGAAUUCCUAGUAAACGCAAGUCAUCAGCUUGCAUUGAUUACGUCCCUGCCCUUUGUACACACCGCCCGUCGCACCUACCGAUUGAAUGGUCCGGUGAAAUCUCGGGACGGCGGCUUGGUCGCUUGCGUCCGACUGCUGAAACUUGAUUAAACCAUAUCAUUUAGAGGAAGGUGAAGUCGUAACA